AGGGGGUCGAGUAGAUGGGAAGAAUGGCUCCAAAGUCACUCGACCAGGGGGUCGAGUAUGGUGCUGGAUGCACACGACCUGGUGGUCGAGUAUGUCUUCUGGUUCUGGCUCGUUUCUUCCAAUUUGCUCGCAAACAGCUCCAAAUCACCUGAAAACAACUUAGAAAUGCAAUAUGUAUGCAAAACUAUCCUAAUCAUGCAAAGUAUGCAAGAAUGAUGAGAAAUGAUAUAAAACAGCGAUGAAUGAUACAAAACUGGACUCAAAACGGUGAUGAAUGGACACUGAAAAGAUGUAAAUUAUAGACAUAUCAGGACCCACAGCAAAUGGAUCAUAAAGUCUUCAAAAAAGAAUAGAUACGAUUGCAUUGCAUGUAGUAACGGAUGCGAUCAUAGCAGCACUAAUGCACCAGAUCCCAUAAGAACUCCGCAGUUAAGUGUGCUUGGGCGAGAGUAGUACUAGGAUGGGUGACCUCCCGGAAAGUCCUCGUGUUUCAUCCCUCUUUUUUUUUUUGGUUUUUCUCUAUUUUUUUUUUUAAAAUGAAUGACUCUAUAACUUUUAGACCGUGAGGCCAAACUUGGCAUGUGAUACCUUUUCAAAAAGCCAAAAGAGAGCUCUCUGGUGAAUGAUGAAGGAAAAUGGAAUUCUUCUAUUGGGUUUUUUUUCUACUCCAAAUUUUGACCUUAAUGUACUCUUUUGGCGUUUUCGCGAUCUUUGCUAUAUUACGGGGCGAAAAUUAUAUGUUCGGACAUUGUUUUUGAAUAUUUUGCAUGUAUCAAAGCUCUUAUAAACAAGAUAGGGUAUUCCUACAUAGCUGGUGGGACCCACGACAAAUGGAUCAUAAAGUCUUCAAGAAGAA
rnacentral:sRNA from 1 species